rnacentral:rRNA from 1 species
GGUUGAUCCUGCCAGUAGUCAUAUGCUUGUCUCAAAGACUAAGCCAUGCAUGUCUAAGUAUAAACGUUUUGUACAGUAAGACUGCGGAUGGCUCAUUAAAUCAGUUAUAGUUUAUUUGAUGAUCUUCUUUACUACUUGGAUAACCGUAGUAAUUCUAGAGCUAAUACAUGCGAAAAGUCCUGACUGCGGAUUCGUUCUGCUGGAAAGGAUGUAUUUAUUAGAUCAAAAACCAAUACGGGUUUUCGGACUCGUUCUUUAUGGUGAUUCAUAAUAACUAAGCGAAUCGCACAGAA